rnacentral:rRNA from 1 species
UACGUAGGGGGCAAGCGUUGUCCGGAUUUAUUGGGCGUAAAGAGCGUGUAGGCGGCUUUACAGGUCCGUUGUGAAAACUCGAGGCUCAACCUCGAGACGCCGGUGGAAACCGUAAAGCUAGAGUCCGGAAGAGGAGAGUGGAAUUCCUGGUGUAGCGGUGAAAUGCGCAGAGAUCGGCAGGAACACCCAGGGGGAAACCAGCCGACUGGGCAUCUACUGACGCUGAGGUGCGAGAGCGUGGGGAGCGAACCGG